rnacentral:rRNA from 1 species
GACGAACGCUGGCGGCGUGCCUAAUACAUGCAAGUCGAACGCAGUGGGGACGGGUGAGUAAAACGUGGGUAACCUCCCAACAACGGGGAUAACACGUGGAAACAGGUGCUAAACCGCUACUGAUGGAUGGACUCGCGGUGCAUUGGCUAGUUGGUGAGGUAACGGCUCACCAAGGCCAUGAUGCAGAGCCGACCGGAGAGGGGGAUCGACCACACUGGGACUGAGACACGGCCCAGACUCCUACGGGAGGCAGCAGUAGGGAAUCUUCGGCAAUGGACGAAAGUCUGACCGAGCGAGGCCGCGUGAGUGAAGAAGGUUUUCGGAUCGUAAAACUCUGUUGUUAGAGAAGCGGUAUCUAACCAGAAAGCCACGGCUAACUACGUGCCAGCCGCCGCGGUAAUAC